ensembl:lncRNA
UGGAUGGCCUGGGGACACUGGCUAGAGCCAGAUGGACACAGCCAAGACCCCCCCAAAAGGAUGAAAUUUCCACAGGGCAGGAAGGAGAAGUGAGCCAGCCCUCUCCAGGCUGGUCCCAAUGCAUGAACUUAAGACACAAGGAAGGAAAGAAGGAAGGAAGGAAAGAAGGAAGGAAGGAAGGGAAUAUAUAUAAAGGUCAUCAGACCACGCAGGAAGGUGACACCCAGGCACUCGCUGUGGAAAUAGAAGGGAACUAAGUCUGCACUCAAACUUGAAAGGCAGUGACAAGGCUCUAAUCAUCAGUUAUGAAGAGAACCAAGAGAACAAUGUUGUAAAUCAACUAAGAAAGAAAGAAAGUGGAGUCGCUCAGUCAUGUCUGACUCUUUGCAACCCCAUGGACUGUAGCCUACCAUGCUACUCCAUCCAUGGGAUUUUCCAGGCAAUAGUACUGGAGUGGGCUGCCAUUUCCUUCUCCAGGGAUCUUCCCGACCCAAGGAUCAAACCGAGGUCUCCUGCAUUGUAGACAGACGCUUUACCAUCUGAGCCACCAAGGAAGUCAACUAAACUUCAAGAAACAAACAGAAAACCAAGAGAAAAGAGCACGAAGAAAAAAACCUUGAAGAUCUCAACAACUUGAGUCAUUGCCAUGGUCACAGUUGUUCAGCUUUUCCACUGGGAAAGGAUAAAUAAAUGCUGGCAUUGCAAAUACCAAAGAGCUUAAGUAAAGUUCAGUUUUUGAUUGACCAGAUGACCAUAAAUGUUUGAAUCCUUCGUCUCUUAGAAACUACGCAAAACCCAAUCACAAAAACAUUAGAAUUAAGUUCAAGAGGUAAUGAGAAGUGACAACAUCAGAGGAUCAGCCAAAAAGCUGGAAGGAAAGGAAACAUGAAGAUGGGUGUGAAGAAGCAACAGAUUCUUUAUCAAGGGCAAUUCUUUAAAGCUCCAACAGGCAGGCUCUAUUAUAAUCAAACCCAAUACAGUAGAUUGAUUUCAACAGUUGUUCCAAUUCUUCAUCUUUGCCUGCAUCUGUAUAAUUUGCCAUGCAACUUUCCACUUGUCACUCUGAUGUGAAGUCCUGUCUACAUCUAGACCCUUUAAAAAUCAG